GCUGGGUGUAGUGGCGGGCGCCUGUAAUCCCAGCUACUUGGGAGGCUGAGGCAGAGAAUUACUUGAACCCAGGAAGCGGAGGCUGCAGUGAGCUGAGAUCACACCACUGCCCUCCAGCCUGGGCUACAAAGUGAGACUCUGUCUCAA
rnacentral:sRNA from 1 species